UUAAACAUGAUGAAUAAUAACUUUCGCCCCUAACUGAAAAAAAGUUAUGUUGAAUGCGAAUGGAUUGGUCUUACUGAGAUUAUAAAU